rnacentral:rRNA from 1 species
CACACCCUAAACGAUGAAUACUAGAUGUUGGUCCUUUUUAGGAUCAGUAUCCAAGCUAACGCAUUAAGUAUUCCACCUGGGAAGUACAAUCGCAAGGUUGAAACUCAAAGGAAUUGACGGGGGCCCGCACAAGCAGUGGAGCAUGUGGUUUAAUUCGACGCAACGCGAAGAACCUUACCUAGGCUUGAAACGCAAGUUAAUCCUGAUGAAAGUCAGGGUUCCGCAAGGAGAACUUGUACAGGUGC